GAUGAACGCUGACAGAAUGCUUAACACAUGCAAGUCAACUUGAAUUUGGGUUUUUAACUUAGGUUUGGGUGGCGGACGGGUGAGUAACGCGUAAAGAACUUGCCUCACAGCUAGGGACAACAUUUGGAAACGAAUGCUAAUACCUAAUAUUAUGAUAAUAGGGCAUCCUAUAAUUAUGAAAGCUAUAAGCGCUGUGAGAGAGCUUUGCGUCCCAUUAGCUAGUUGGAGAGGUAACGGCUCACCAAGGCGAUGAUGGGUAGCCGGCCUGAGAGGGUGAUCGGCCACAAGGGGACUGAGACACGGCCCUUACUCCUACGGGAGGCAGCAGUGGGGAAUAUUAGACAAUGGACCGAGAGUCUGAUCCAGCAAUUCUGUGUGCACGAUGAAGUUUUUCGGAAUGUAAAGUGCUUUCAGUUGGGAAGAAACAAAUGACGGUACCAACAGAAGAAGUGACGGCUAAAUACGU
rnacentral:rRNA from 1 species